UCCUACGGGAGGCAGCAGUAGGGAAUCUUCCGCAAUGGACGAAAGUCUGACGGAGCAACGCCGCGUGAGUGAUGAAGGCUUUCGGGUCGUAAAACUCUGUUGUUAGGGAAGAACAAGUUGGGUAGUAACUGACCCAACCUUGACGGUACCUAACCAGAAAGCCACGGCUAACUACGUGCCAGCAGCCGCGGUAAUACGUAGGUGGCAAGCGUUAUCCGGAAUUAUUGGGCGUAAAGCGCGCGCAGGUGGUUUCUUAAGUCUGAUGUGAAAGCCCACGGCUCAACCGUGGAGGGUCAUUGGAAACUGGGAGACUUGAGUGCAGAAGAGGAAAGUGGAAUUCCAUGUGUAGCGGUGAAAUGCGUAGAGAUAUGGAGGAACACCAGUGGUGAAGGCGACUUUCUGGUCUGUAACUGACACUGAGGCGCGAAAGCGUGGGGAGCAAACAGGAUUAGAUACCCUGGUAGUCCACGCCGUAAACGAUGAGUGCUAAGUGUUAGAGGGUUUCCGCCCUUUAGUGCUGAAGUUAACGCAUUAAGCACUCCGCCUGGGGAGUACGGCCGCAAGGCUGAAACUCAAAGGAAUUGACGGA
rnacentral:rRNA from 1 species